AAUUGUGGCUAUUAAGGAAUAAGAUUGCUUAAGUUUUUGAAUCAAGAUUGCAAUCUUUACCAAAUAAUUGUGCAGCUCUAUUCUGUUUGCUUGUUUGUUGUUGUUGUUGUUGUUUUUUUGCCUGUUUCUGUGUUGCAAAGGAAUUUAUUACCCAAUGACCCUUUUUAGUUCAUCAGAGCAGGAGAUAUCAGAAGUGACUGCUGAGCCUGAGGGACCGGUUUCUGAGGGACCAUCAUGUUCAUCAGAAUGGCCAACUGAAAGAUAUGCUGGUUUAGAAACUGUUUCAGGUAGACAGAAUAGUAAUGAAUCAGUGCAGUACAGUGUUGUGGAUCAAACAUUAUGGGUCUGAAGGAUAUGAGUAAAAAAAAAUUGCAAAUAAAUAUUAUGAAUUGUGCAUUUCUGACUAAUAUUUUAUUUUUAUUAGAGCUGUUUAUUGAUGCUGUUUCAAUUUUCUCUGUUAUUGGACAACUCUACUCAACUGUACUCUAAAUGCUACAUCAGCAUGUAUAUUCUUCCUCCUACAGUAUAAGAAGUGAUCACAGAAAUUCAGAACUGUUAAAAGUAUAGUUCACACAAAAGUAACAUUUAUGGCAGCACACUCACGUUCUAAACCCAUAUGACUGCAGAAGAAAGCAUUUAAUAAAUACCCAGUUGGGUGAAUUCAAUUACAAUGACAGUGUAAUUUUUUGGGUUAACUAACUAUCAAAGGGAGUUACAGUGCAAUUAAUCUGUAUAUAUUUAACUCUCUCUUCUUGUCUUAUUUAGACUGGAAGACAGAACAAGAAGCCAGAAAAGCAGUUCAGAUUUUUAGAUCAGAGCUGCUAUCCCCUCAUGAGUUUGGGAAGCCAUUGAUCAUGACACUGGACCUAAGAGAUGAAAUUGAAGAUCAGGAAAGACACCUGAUAUCUUUUUUAUAAGAGGUCAAAUAUGGAGUGGGCCAGCCCUGUUGAGUGCAAACUUCAUGGAGAUUCUGCUAUUGGGGAAGGAGUGACCAGAUUUUUCUUCUCAAAGUGCAUAUCAUUGCUUCAAAUUGGAUUUCAUCUUAAUCUUGGAAACACGGCACUAACAAAACUGUUUGAAGGCGAGCCGGACCAUCUGACUCCAUCAACAUCUCAAUUUCUCCAGGACAGUGACAUGUUUGUGGUGGCAGGCAGGAUGAUUGGCCACUCAAUUUUGCAUGGUGGACCCUGUGUUACUGGGAUAAGUCCUGCCACCAUGCACGUUCUGUUGUGGGGAUCCCUAGAGACUGCAACAAUCCAGAUUGAAGACUGUUGUGACUUUGAUGUUCGCAACACCAUUCAUUUAGUAUGGACCAGAAUGGCAGAGCACUUUUUUUUAUUGCAGAUUCUAUUUUUAUACCUGAAAAUUUCAAUGUAAAAUGACUGUACCUAUAAAAGUAACAGUACUAUCACAUAAAUAAGUUAUGUGUUACUACUUUCUGCCAGCUUAAUGGAGACUCUGAACUGUCUGCAGAGGAGAAAGAGGCAAUCCUCAAUUUAUCAUUGGCCUGGGACCUGCCAGGUGUCACAGAAGGUAAUCGGAGAUGGUUAUAUGAGUGGCUUUUCCUUCAUGCUGUAAGUACUGUAAGAUGAUGCAUACACAAUUUUGAUACACAAUUUUGACAAUCCACUAAAAACAUUUUAAUAGUAUUUAGAACAUACUAGGGCAUCAAAUACACACCUGUAAAAUUAAAUUAAAUCUUAAAUUAGUUUUAGUAAGUACUAAUGUAAAUUAUAGUCUUACUGUGUUAUGGAUUAAAGUAUUAAUGUCAACCUAAAUCUAAAAUUGCAGGUAGUUGGACAUACUUCACGUCAAGUGAAGCAGAUAAGAAGGGGGUUAAAAGAGACCAUGGUGUGGCCACUUCUGACAGAGAGGAAAGAUGUCAUUCCUCUGCUGUUUCCAAGGGAGUCAGAGGCCAUCUACAACUCUGAGAUGAUCUUGGAGCAAAUUGUUUGGCCAGAGCUGGAUGACGAUGACAGUGACAAUGAAGAGUGCAGCCUUGAGGACAAAUACAAGGUUGCUGGAUACCUGCGGACAUUUAUCAAAAAUGCCUCCUCUUCGAACUUAAAGGAACUGCUUAAGUUCUGGACCGGAUGGGAAAUCCCAUCUAAUGACCUUCAAGUCGAGGUGAUGGAAGGCAACCUUCCCAGGUCCUCCACUUGUUUCCAAAAGCUUUUCAUCCCCGCACACUACACGUGCUACUCUGAAUUUGAGAGGGAUAUGCUAACCUGCAUUUCCUGCAACGAUACAGGUUUCGGCCUUAUAUAACUUGAAUUUGUGUAUAAAGGGUUAGUUCCCUUUAAACGUUUGUGUUCAAGGAAAGUUUCAUGUAGUUGUACUAAUACAAGAAUGCUGUUGACUAAAUGCAGACUUCCAUUCAAAUAACCACGUUUCACUUUUAAUGAAAUUGGCUUUUUAUUGUUAAAGCCUCAAAGUUUGAACAGCAUGUGUUCAAGAAAUUUUUUGUUGUACUAAUAUACAACUAUACAAAAACACAUUUCAGUUUUAAUGAAUUUCUUUAUGAAUUGUUACAAAUAAAAGUUAACAGCUUGUUCAAGUAAACAUUUAUCAAGUUUAUAUGUAGGUGAAGUUGUUGACUGAAUACACCAGACAUUCAUACACAGCCAUACACAAGAUGUAACUUUCAGUAUACACUAUGUGCAGAAUUAUUGGGCAAGUUGAUUUUCUGUUC